rnacentral:piRNA from 1 species
UUUCGUUGUGGACAAUUUGGU